AGUUUGAUCAUGGCUCAGGACGAACGCUGGCGGCGUGCCUAACACAUGCAAGUCGAACGAGGUCCAAGGAAGCUUGCUUCCUGAAGACCUAGUGGCGAACGGGUGAGUAACACGUGAGAAACCUGCCUCGGAGUGGGGAAUAACUCGGGGAAACUCGAGCUAAUACCGCAUACCUUCACAUGAUCGCAUGGUCGAGUGAAGAAAGAAUUUCGCUCUGAGAGGGUCUCGCGGCCUAUCAGCUUGUUGGUGGGGUAACGGCCUACCAAGGCAACGACGGGUAGCUGGUUUGAGAGAACGAUCAGCCACACUGGGACUGAGACACGGCCCAGACUCCUACGGGAGGCAGCAGUGGGGAAUCUUGCGCAAUGGGCGAAAGCCUGACGCAGCAACGCCGCGUGCGGGAUGACGGCCUUCGUGGUUGUAAACCGCUUUCAGCAGGGACGAAAAUGACGGUACCUGCAGAAGAAGCCCCGGCUAACUACGUG
rnacentral:rRNA from 1 species